UGGGGAAUUUUGGACAAUGGGCGAAAGCCUGAUCCAGCAAUGCCGCGUGUGUGAAGAAGGCCUUCGGGUUGUAAAGCACUUUUGUCCGGAAAGAAAUCCUUGGCUCUAAUACAGUCGGGGGAUGACGGUACCGGAAGAAUAAGCACCGGCUAACUACGUGCCAGCAGCCGCGGUAAUACGUAGGGUGCAAGCGUUAAUCGGGAUUACUGGGCGUAAAGCGUGCGCAGGCGGUUUGCUAAGACCGAUGUGAAAUCCCCGGGCUCAACCUGGGAACUGCAUUGGUGACUGGCAGGCUAGAGUAUGGCAGAGGGGGGUAGAAUUCCACGUGUAGCAGUGAAAUGCGUAGAGAUGUGGAGGAAUACCGAUGGCGAAGGCAGCCCCCUGGGCCAAUACUGACGCUCAUGCACGAAAGCGUGGGGAGCAAACAGGAUUAGAUACCCUGGGUAGUCCACGCCCUAAACGAUGUCAACUAGUUGUUGGGGAUUCAUUUCCUUAGUAACGUAGCUAACGCGUGAAGUUGACCGCCUGGGGAGUACGGUCGCAAGAUUAAAACUCAAAUGAAUUGACGGGGU
rnacentral:rRNA from 1 species